CCUCAUACAGGGGGAUAACAGUUAGAAAUGGCUGCUAAUACCGCAUAAGACCACAGCACCGCAUGGUGCAGGGGUAAAAACUCCGGUGGUAUGAGAUGGACCCGCGUCUGAUUAGCUAGUUGGUGGGGUAACGGCCUACCAAGGCGACGAUCAGUAGCCGACCUGAGAGGGUGACCGGCCACAUUGGGACUGAGACACGGCCCAAACUCCUACGGGAGGCAGCAGUGGGGAAUAUUGCACAAUGGGGGAAACCCUGAUGCAGCGACGCCGCGUGAGCGAAGAAGUAUUUCGGUAUGUAAAGCUCUAUCAGCAGGGAAGAAAAUGACGGUACCUGACUAAGAAGCCCCGGCUAACUACGUGCCAGCAGCCGCGGUAAUACGUAGGGGGCAAGCGUUAUCCGGAUUUACUGGGUGUAAAGGGAGCGUAGACGGCGAGGCAAGUCUGAUGUGAAAACCCGGGGCUCAACCCCGUGACUGCAUUGGAAACUGUUUUGCUUGAGUGCCGGAGAGGUAAGCGGAAUUCCUAGUGUAGCGGUGAAAUGCGUAGAUAUUAGGAGGAACACCAGUGGCGAAGGCGGCUUACUGGACGGCAACUGACGUUGAGGCUCGAAAGCGUGGGGAGCAAACAGGAUUAGAUACCCUGGUAGUCCACGCCGUAAACGAUAAAUACUAGGUGUCGGGGAGCAAAGCUCUUCGGUG
rnacentral:rRNA from 1 species